UGCAGAGAUCAUGCGUAUUAGGUCGAAUGGCGUUCUUGUCGUAUAUAUAAUUCAUGCGUCCCACAUCCAUCGUCUCAUUGUUGGUUGUAUAAAUACUUUUCGGAUGAAAAGCUCACUAUCAGCUUCACUGCGCUGACGAGCCCCAAAAGGGCGAAACAGCUGUCCGCAGUUGCUGGUAGUGAGCUUGGGGCACAAUUGCCUAUAGGCCUUUGCGCUG